rnacentral:rRNA from 1 species
AGACGUAGGGGGCGAGCGUUGUCCGGAAUUACUGGGCGUAAAGAGCACGUAGGCGGGUGUUUAAGUCAGGUGUGAAAGACCGCAGCCUAACUGCGGGGUUGCACUUGAAACUGAAUAUCUUGAGGGCAGGAGAGGUCAGUGGAAUUCCUGGUGUAGCGGUGAAAUGCGUAGAAAUCAGGAGGAACACCAGUGGCGAAGGCGACUGACUGGACUGACCCUGACGCUGAGGUGCGAAAGCGUGGGUAGCAAACAGGAUUAGAUACCCUGGUAGUCCACGCCGUAAACGAUGGAUACUAGGUGUGGGAGGUAUCGACCCCUUCCGUGCCGGAGCAAACGCAAUAAGUAUCCCGCCUGGGGAGUACGGUCGCAAGGCUGAA